CUUCUCUUUCACUCUCUUCUCUCUCCCUCUCCUCUCUCUACCUUCGCACCACCCAACUGCCACCAGACGCCGCCACUGUUUUUGACCAGCAAUCGUCGCCACCAGACGCCGCCAGCUCAGCUGACUAUAGGAUAAAUUUGCAUUGGAUGUUGCCUGAUUGGAAUUAAAGAACGAAUUUCAGCAACACUCUGAGGAGUUUCGAGCCACUCAGCCAAGUAGCACGCCGAUGACUGACGAGGUAAUACAACAAUAGUGGAUUGAGAAGGUUGCUCCCCCAACAAGGCAUGGGACAGUUUAUGGGAUGCCUAAUGGAGCCUUUCGUCGAUACCCGUCAGCCCUUGAAGUCGUAAGUGCUGAUGAUGAUGGGGCAAUUGAUCCUAAGGAGUAUGAAGCUAUGAAGCAUCAAGUUGACCUACUAACAAGAACACUUAAUUCCUCGGAGGCCAGGAUGUUGGGUAUGCAAGCCCAAAUUAACACUGAAUGUUGACCUUUUUGAUUAGUGUGCUUUUGGAUUCUAAUUCGGCUAUGUUUAAAUGGAUAUGUAUAUUAUGUUUAAGAGUUUGAAUGUAGUUUUAAUUCGAAUUAGAAGUACUUUUAAUUUUAAGAUGUUUAAGUGUUUGAAUGGACAAUGUUUAAGUGUUCAAGUGUUUGAACAUUGUUUAUGGUUGUUGUGUUGCAUUGUUGAUGAAUUGGAUGACUGUUUUG